rnacentral:tRNA from 1 species
AGCCUUAUAGUUGAAUUACAACGUUAAAUUGCAAAUUUAAAAGUGUUUUAGUACUAAGACUU